rnacentral:rRNA from 1 species
UACGAAGGUGGCAAGCGUUGUUCGGAUUUACUGGGCGUAAAGGGAGCGUAGGUGGUGGGGUAAGCCCCGCGGGAAAGCUCCAGGCUUAACCUGGAAAGGUCGCGGGGGACUGCUCCGCUUGAGGACGGGAGAGGAGCGCGGAAUUCCCGGUGUAGCGGUGAAAUGCGUAGAGAUCGGGAGGAAGGCCGGUGGCGAAGGCGGCGCUCUGGAACGGCCCUGACACUGAGGCUCGAAAGCGUGGGGAGCAAACAGG